rnacentral:rRNA from 1 species
GAUGAACGCUAGCGGCAGGCCUAAUACAUGCAAGUCGAGGGGCAGCGCGGACUUCGGUCUGGCGGCGACCGGCGUACGGGUGCGUAACGCGUAUGCAACCUACCUUCAGCUGGGGGAUAGCCCGUGGAAACAUGGAUUAAUACCCCAUAAAGCAGGGGUCUCGCAUGGGACUAUUUGCUAAAGAUUUAUUGGCUGGAGAUGGGCAUGCGUCUGAUUAGUUAGUUGGUGAGGUAACGGCUCACCAAGGCGAUGAUCAGUAGGGGUUCUGAGAGGAUGAUCCCCCACACUGGUACUGAGACACGGACCAGACUCCUACGGGAGGCAGCAGUAGGGAAUAUUGGGCAAUGGGCGAGAGCCUGACCCAGCCAUGCCGCGUGCAGGAAGACGGCCUUCUGGGUUGUAAACUGCUUUUAUCAGGGAAGAAAGGGGCACUGCGGGGCCAGUUGACUGUACCUGAUGAAUAAGCACCGGCUAACUCCGUGCCAGCAGCCGCGGUAAUACGGAGGGUGCAAGCGUUGUCCGGAUA